AUUCCUCUCAAAGUGCUGGGAUUACAGGCAUGAGCCACUGUCCCCGGUCAAUUCUGGUUUCUUUAAAGUGGGGCAAGGACCUUGCAGACAUUUGUAUAGCAACUGGAGUGCAGAAUCCCUCUAGAUUCUUGUGGUUAUUUUUUUUUCCAGAUGUUUUGUAGUUGGUUCUUCCACACCUAAUUUGACAGUAUUCUUUUUAGCAACGAGUCUUCAUUGAGUUUUCAGAAAAACAAAUCUCUUCCUUUUGCACUCAUAUUUCAUCAGUUUAUGGAAUAUCUAAUUCAGUUACAUUGUUACAAUAUUAAGUGUGCCUUCUGCAAACUGAUUUGGGAACACACCCAGCGGACUGUUGGCAAGCAUGCCCUUCUACAGCCAAGAGCCCCAGGGGGCUAGAGAAUGGCUUACUAGCCAUAAGCAUUCAAUGUGCCUGAGGCAGUAGCGUUGCAUUCAGACAGCAUGGAGAGCACUGGUUAGCCUGGCAAGCUGGUUAAACAGAUUAGUAAAAGGACUUUGUGCACUAACUCUGGAAAAGACUUCAUAGUGUGGAAUUGUCUCCGGAAGACAUUUGCCCCACUGGAGACUACAUUUCCCAGCAUCCCUGGCAUCUAGGUAUGACCAUGUGACUAGUCUCCACCAAUGGAAUGUGAACAGGAGUGGUGAGUGUCACUUCCAGGCAGGGCCUUGAGGAAGCAGGUGAGCUUCUCCAUCCCUGUCUGUCUAGAUACAGAGAACCCCAAAGCCCUGCAGGAUGGCAAAGCUGCAACAUGGAAGUCACCCGGAUCACCACGUAAAGGAAAUCUGCUCUCCAACCAGGAACAAGCACCUGCCUUGCAAUAUUAGCUCCUUCCCAGGGCUUCGUGCAUAUGCAUAUCUCCUUCCAGAAUCCUGGUCAAUACUAAGGCCUUACUGGAUGCAGAUGAUUGGGAGAAGGAGAGAGGAAGAAGAGUCCUAGAAGAAGGAGCCUGAAUUCCUGGAUCAUCAUGUGGGGGAGCCCACCAAGCAGAAGCACCCACUGGGAAUGUUAUGUAACACAAAUAGACUUUGUGCUUUGGCUAGUAAGCACUUUGGCAGUGACGUUCCAAUGACACUGGUGGUAGUGGAAGUGGAUGCAGGUGAUAAAGGGGUACACUGUCUGUAGAGAAUUUUAAAACAGUAAUGAAAAGGUCUAAAAGUCAAUCUGCUUUUUAUUGUCACCACAUGCCAGCAAUUCUAAAUAAUGCCAGUGUUAAAAUAUUCCUUCUUACCAGGGAGAAAACUCCCACUGUCAGAGGCGUUUGAACCAGAGUGAUUCCAUCUUGAAUAGGGGCUGGGUAAAAUGAGGCUGAGACCUGCUGGGCUGCAUUCCCAGAUGGUUAAGGCAUUCUAAGUCACAGGAUGAGAUAGGAGGUUGGCACAAGAUACAGGUCAUAAAGACCUUGCUGAUAAAACAGGCUGCAAUAAAGAAGCCAGCUAAAACCCGCCAAAACCAAGAUGGCUUCGAGAGUGACCACUGGUUGUCCUCACUGCUACACUCUCACCAGUGCCAUGACAGUUUACAAAUGCCAUGGCAACAUCAGAAAGUUACCCUAUAUGGUCUAAAAAUGGGAGGCAUGAAUAAUCCACUCGUUUGGCAUAUAAUCAAGAAAUAACCAUAAAAAUAGGUAACCAGCAGCCCUCGGGGCUGCUCUAUGGAUCAUUUUCCCUUUACUUUCUUAACAAAUUCACUUCCAUUUUAUGGGCUCGCCCUGAGUUCUUUCUUAUGCAAGUUCUAAGAACCCUCUCUUGGGGUCUGGAUUGGGACCCCCUUCCUGUAACAUCACCACCUCCCCUGGUCCCUUGGUAUGCCACUGAAUUUGGGGUUUAUUUAUUACUGGGAUCUGGUUUACCCUAGCUAAUAAAGACAGGCAUAAAGGUAUAAAUAGCAAUGACGAACAUCCAUAUGUACACCAUGUUUUUUAAGGAGAAAAACAUUACAAAUAUGACUGUUGACAUGAACAUUUAAAAUAAAUUUAGAUUUCUCUGGCGACUGCAGUCUGAUACUUAAGCAAUCUGCCUGGCGUGGGGAAAAGACUCAGGGAGACUUUGCAUUCCACAGAUGCCACAUCAGCCAUCUGGAGUAAGCAGCGCGGCACCAGGUUCUGCCACCAGCUUCUGAUUUAGCCGGCUUCUUUAUUGCAACCUGUCUUACCAGUACGGUCUUUGUGAUCUGUAUCUUGCGCUGACCUCCUAUCUCAUCCUGUGACUUAGAAUCCUGUGACUUAGAGCAGCCGUUCUUUAUUCCUUUACUUUCUUAAUAAACUCACUUUCACUUUA